UAGUAAUGUCAAAGACAGCGUAUGUGGG
rnacentral:piRNA from 1 species